GCAGUAGCCGCGGGAAUACGUAGGUGGCAAGCGUUGUCCGGAUUUAUUGGGCGUAAAGCGAGCGCAGGCGGUUUCUUAAGUCUGAUGUGAAAGCCCCCGGCUCAACCGGGGAGGGUCAUUGGAAACUGGGAGACUUGAGUGCAGAAGAGGAGAGUGGAAUUCCAUGUGUAGCGGUGAAAUGCGUAGAUAUAUGGAGGAACACCAGUGGCGAAGGCGGCUCUCUGGUCUGUAACUGACGCUGAGGCUCGAAAGCGUGGGGAGCGAACAGGAUUAGAUACCCCAGUAGUCCCUGUCUCUUAUAC
rnacentral:rRNA from 1 species